rnacentral:rRNA from 1 species
ACUCAAAUGAAUUGACGGGGACCCGCACAAGCAGUGGAGCGCCUGGUUUAAUUCGAUGAUUAGCGAAAAACCUCACCUAGGCCUAAAUUGUAGCUGCACAUCCUGUGAAAGCAGGACUCCUUCGAGGGUGCUACAAAGGUGCUGCAUGGCUGUCGUCAGCUCGUGUCGUGAGAUGUCGGGUUAAGUCCCACAACGAGCGCAACCCCUAUCCAGUGUUAAAAUUACUCUGGAGACUGCCUCGCCAAAACGAGGAGGAAGGCGGGGAUGACGUCCAGUCAGCAUGUCCCUUGUGUCUAGGGCUACACAGACGCUACAAUGGUUGGGACAACGGGCUGCCAAGGGGUGACCCGGAGCCAAUCCCAUCAAACCCAACCUCAAUUCGGAUUGGAGUCUGCAACUCGACUCCAUGAAGUCGGAAUUGCUAGUAAUCGCGCAUCAGCAUGGCGCGGUGAAUACGUUCUCGGGUCUUGCACACACCGCCCGU